rnacentral:rRNA from 1 species
CUGAAACCGUGUGCCUACAAGUAGUUAGAGCCCGUUAAUGGGUGAUAGCGUGCCUUUUGUAGAAUGAACCGGCGAGUUACGAUUUGUUGCAAGGUUAAGCGGAAAAAGCGGAGCCGUAGCGAAAGCGAGUCUGAAUAGGGCGCAUAAGUAACAGGUCGUAGACCCGAAACCAGGUGAUCUACCCAUGUCCAGGAUGAAGGUAAGGUAAUACUUACUGGAGGUCCGAACCCACGCACGUUGAAAAGUGCGGGGAUGAGGUGUGGGUAGCGGAGAAAUUCCAAUCGAACUUGGAGAUAGCUGGUUCUCUCCGAAAUAGCUUUAGGGCUAGCCUCGAGGUAAAGAGUCAUGGAGGUAGAGCACUGUUUGGACUAGGGGCCCUUCUCGGGUUACCGAAUUCAGAUAAACUCCGAAUGCCAUGUACUUAUACUCGGGAGUCAGACUGCGAGUGAUAAGAUCCGUAGUCGAAAGGGAAACAGCCCAGACCACCAGUUAAGGUCCCCAAAUAUAUGUUAAGUGGAAAAGGAUGUGGGGUUGCUUAGACAACCAGGAUGUUGGCUUAGAAGCAGCCACCAUUGAAAGAGUGCGUAAUAGCUCACUGGUCGAGUGACCCCGCGCCGAAAAUGUACCGGGGCUAAACAUAUUACCGAAACUGUGGAUGAACCUCUUUAGAGGUUCGUGGUAGGAGAGCGUUCUAAGGGCGGUGAAGUCAGACCGGAAGGACUGGUGGAGCGCUUAGAAGUGAGAAUGCCGGUAUGAGUAGCGAAAGAAGGGUGAGAAUCCCUUCCACCGAAUAUCUAAGGUUUCCUGAGGAAGGCUCGUCCGCUCAGGGUUAGUCGGGACCUAAGCCGAGGCCGAUAGGCGUAGGCGAUGGACAACAGGUAGAGAUUCCUGUACCAGUGCUAAUUGUUUAACCGAUGGGGUGACACAGAAGGAUAGGGAAUCGCACGAAUGGAAAUGUGCGUCCAAGCAGUGAGUGUGAGAAGUAGGCAAAUCCGCUUCUCGCGAAGCAUGAGCUGUGAUGGGGAAGGAAAUUAAGUACGGAAGUUCCUGAUUUCACGCUGUCAAGAAAAGCCUCUAGGAAGAGUAGUACUGCCCGUACCGCAAACCGACACAGGUAGAUGAGGAGAGAAUCCUAAGGUGAGCGAGAGAACUCUCGUUAAGGAACUCGGCAAAAUGACCCCGUAACUUCGGGAGAAGGGGUGCUCUAUUAGGGUGCAAGCCCGAGAGAGCCGCAGUGAAUAGGCCCAGGCGACUGUUUAGCAAAAACACAGGUCUCUGCAAAACCGUAAGGUGACGUAUAGGGGCUGACGCCUGCCCGGUGCUGGAAGGUUAAGAGGAGUGCUUAGCUUCGGCGAAGGUACGAAUUGAAGCCCCAGUAAACGGCGGCCGUAACUAUAACGGUCCUAAGGUAGCGAAAUUCCUUGUCGGGUAAGUUCCGACCCGCACGAAAGGCGCAACGAUCUGGGCACUGUCUCAACGAGAGACUCGGUGAAAUUAUAGUACCUGUGAAGAUGCAGGUUACCCGCGACAGGACGGAAAGACCCCGUGGAGCUUUACUGCAACCUGAUAUGGAAUGUUUGUACCGCUUGUACAGGAUAGGUAGGAGCCGAAGAGACGUGUGCGCUAGCAUACGAGGAGGCAAUGGUGGGAUACUACCCUGGCUGUAUGACCAUUCUAACCCGCCACGCUUAGCGCGUGGGGAGACAGUGUCAGGUGGGCAGUUUGACUGGGGCGGUCGCCUCCUAAAGAGUAACGGAGGCGCCCAAAGGUUCCCUCAGAAUGGAUGGAAAUCAUUCGCAGAGUGUAAAGGCACAAGGGAGCUUGACUGCGAGACUGACAAGUCGAGCAGGGACGAAAGUCGGGCUUAGUGAUCCGGUGGUUCCGCAUGGAAGGGCCAUCGCUCAACGGAUAAAAGCUACCCCGGGGAUAACAGGCUUAUCUCCCCCAAGAGUCCACAUCGACGGGGAGGUUUGGCACCUCGAUGUCGGCUCGUCGCAUCCUGGGGCUGUAGUCGGUCCCAAGGGUUGGGCUGUUCGCCCAUUAAAGCGGCACGCGAGCUGGGUUCAGAACGUCGUGAGACAGUUCGGUCCCUAUCCGUCGCGGGCGCAGGAAAUUUGAGAGGAGCUGUCCUUAGUACGAGAGGACCGGGAUGGACACACCGCUGGUGUACCAGUUGUUCCGCCAGGAGCAUCGCUGGGUAGCUAUGUGUGGCAGGGAUAAACGCUGAAAGCAUCUAAGCGUGAAGCCCCCCUCAAGAUGAGAUUUCCCAUUUCUUCGGAAAGUAAGAUCCCUGAAAGAUGAUCAGGUAGAUAGGU